CCUACGGGGGGCUGCAGUGGGGAAUAUUGGACAAUGGGGGCAACCCUGAUCCAGCCAUGCCGCGUGUGUGAAGAAGGCCCUCGGGUUGUAAAGCACUUUCAGUGAGGAAGAACGCCUGGUGGUUAAUACCCAUCAGGAAAGACAUCACUCACAGAAGAAGCACCGGCUAACUCCGUGCCAGCAGCCGCGGUAAUACGGAGGGUGCGAGCGUUAAUCGGAAUUACUGGGCGUAAAGCGCGCGUCGGUGGCUUGAUAAGCCGGUUGUGAAAGCCCCGGGCUCAACCUGGGAACGGCAUCCGGAACUGUCAAGCUAGAGUGCAGGAGAGGAAGGUAGAAUUCCCGGUGUAGCGGUGAAAUGCGUAGAGAUCGGGAGGAAUACCAGUGGCGAAGGCGGCCUUCUGGACUGACACUGACACUGAGGUGCGAAAGCGUGGGUAGCAAACAGGAUUAGAUACCCGUGUAGUC
rnacentral:rRNA from 1 species